rnacentral:rRNA from 1 species
AGAGUUUGAUCCUGGCUCAGAUUGAACGCUGGCGGCAUGCCUUACACAUGCAAGUCGAACGGUAACGCGGGGGCAACCCUGGCGACGAGUGGCGAACGGGUGAGUAAUACAUCGGAACAUAUCCAGUAGCGGGGGAUAACCUAUCGAAAGAUGGACUAAUACCGCAUACGAUCUACGGAUGAAAGCAGGGGACCGCAAGGCCUUGCACUAUUGGAGUGGCCGAUGUCGGAUUAGCUAGUUGGUGGGGUAAAAGCUUACCAAGGCGACGAUCCGUAGCUGGUCUGAGAGGACGAUCAGCCACACUGGAACUGAGACACGGUCCAGACUCCUACGGGAGGCAGCAGUGGGGAAUUUUGGACAAUGGGCGCAAGCCUGAUCCAGCCAUGCCGCGUGAGUGAAGAAGGCCUUCGGGUUGUAAAGCUCUUUCGGUGAAGACGAAACGGCUCAUGCUAAUAACUUGAACUAAUGACGGUACUCACAGAAGAAGCACCGGCUAACUACGUGCCAGCAGCCGCGGUAAUACGUAGGGUGCAGGCGUUAAUCGGAAUUACUGGGCGUAAAGCGUGCGCAGGCGGUUUGCUAAGACAGGUGUGAAAUCCCCGGGCUUAACCUGGGAAUUGCGCUUGUAACUGGCAAGCUAGAGUGUGGCAGAGGGGGGUGGAAUUCCACGUGUAGCAGUGAAAUGCGUAGAUAUGUGGAGGAACACCGAUGGCGAAGGCAGCCCCCUGGGUUAACACUGACGCUCAUGCACGAAAGCGUGGGGAGCAAACAGGAUUAGAUACCCUGGUAGUCCACGCCCUAAACUAUGUCAACUAGUUGUCGGGGAAGAAAUUCCUUGGUAACGAAGCUAACGCGUGAAGUUGACCGCCUGGGGAGUACGGCCGCAAGGUUAAAACUCAAAGGAAUUGACGGGGACCCGCACAAGCGGUGGAUUAUGUGGAUUAAUUCGAUCAACGCGAAAAACCUUACCUACCCUUGACAUGCUAGGAAGCCCGCAGAGAUGUGGGUGUGCCCGAAAGGGAACCUAGACACAGGUGCUGCAUGGCUGUCGUCAGCUCGUGUCGUGAGAUGUUGGGUUAAGUCCCGCAACGAGCGCAACCCUUGCCAUUAGUUGCUACAUUCAGUUGGGCACUCUAAUGGGACCGCCGGUGACAAACCGGAGGAAGGUGGGGAUGACGUCAAGUCCUCAUGGCCCUUAUGGGUAGGGCUUCACACGUAAUACAAUGGUCGGUACAGAGGGCUGCCAACCCGCAAGGGGGAGCUAAUCCCAGAAAGCCGAUCGUAGUCCGGAUUGUAGUCUGCAACUCGACUGCAUGAAGU